rnacentral:rRNA from 1 species
AUUGAACGCUGGCGGCAGGCUUAACACAUGCAAGUCGAGCGAGCGGCGGACGGGUGAGUAAUGUCUGGGAAACUGCCUGAUGGAGGGGGAUAACUACUGGAAACGGUAGCUAAUACCGCAUACCAUCAGAUGUGCCCAGAUGGGAUUAGCUAGUAGGUGGGGUAAUGGCUCACCUAGGCGACGAUCCCUAGCUGGUCUGAGAGGAUGACACGCAACACGGGAACUGAGACACGGUCCAGAGUCGUACGGGAGGCAGCAGUGGGGAAUAUUGCACAAUGGGCGCAAGCCUGAUGCAGCCAUGCCGCGUGUGUGAAGAAGGCCUUCGGGUUGUAAAGCACUUUCAGAGAGGAGGCGUUAGUCGCAGAAGAAGAACCGGCUAACUCCGUGCCAGCAGCCGCGGUAAUAC